UACGUAGGGUGCAAGCGUUAAUCGGAAUUACUGGGCGUAAAGCGUGCGCAGGCGGUUAUGUAAGACAGAUGUGAAAUGCCCGGGCUUAACCUGGGAACUGCAUUUGUGACUGCAUGGCUAGAGUUUGGCAGAGGGGGGUAGAAUUCCACGUGUAGCAGUGAAAUGCGUAGAUAUGUGGAGGAACACCGAUAGCGAAGGCAGCUCGCUGGGACGGUACUGACGCUGAGGCGCGAAAGCGUGGGGAGCAAACAGGG
rnacentral:rRNA from 1 species